GGGUCAGUAGGUUGGUCGUGCCACCGGUACGUACUGGUCUCACUGAUUCCUCCUUCCUGAAGAACCGUAAUGCCAUUAAUUUGGUGUUGCGUGGAAACAGGACUGUUACUUUGAAAAAAUUAGAGUGUUUAAAGCAAGCUAACGCUUGAAUACAUUAGCAUGGAAUAAUCAAAUAGGACGAUCGAUCCUAUUUUGUUGGUUUCUAGGAUUGACGUA
rnacentral:rRNA from 1 species